rnacentral:misc_RNA from 1 species
AACUGAUACUACCUGCGGGAACCUGCGGAAGGAUCAUUACAUGAUUUGAGGGGGCUCACGUCCCCUCAUCCAACCCACAAACCCCGAGGAACUUUUAUGUCGAGUGGUUCGGCGCUCUCUUUGAGAGCCGCCCCUCAAACGCAUCGCAGGCUUUUCGUGAAGGUCUGAUGUGUCACAUCGUGAGUAUUAAAACUUUCAACAAUGGAUCUCU